AUCCAGCUGACGAGUCUGAAGUAGGACGAAACGCGCUUCCUGGAU
rfam:Schistosoma mansoni strain Puerto Rico chromosome 3, complete genome